rnacentral:rRNA from 1 species
UACGUAGGAUGCAAGCGUUGUCCGGAGUUACUGGGCGUAAAGGGUGCGCAGGUGGCGGCGCGCGUGGGGGGGUGAAAUCGCCCGGCUUAACUGGGCGGGGGCCUUCCAGACGGCGUGGCUUGAGCAGCGGAGGGGGACGUGGAAUUCCGGGUGGAGCGGUGAAAUGCGUAGAGAUCCGGAGGAACACCGACGGCGCAGGCAGCGUCCUGGCCGCUUGCUGACACUGAGGCACGAAAGCUGGGGGAGCAAACAGG